rnacentral:rRNA from 1 species
UACGGGGGGGGUAAGCGUUGUUCGGAAUUACUGGGCGUAAAGGGCUCGUAGGCGGCCAAGUAAGUCGGACGUGAAAUCCCUCAGCUUAACUGGGGAACUGCGUCCGAUACUGGAUGGCUUGAAUUCGGGAGAGGGAUGCAGAAUUCCAGGUGUAGCGGUGAAAUGCGUAGAUAUCUGGAGGAAGACCGGUGGCGAAGGCGGCAUCCUGGACCGACAUUGACGCUGAACGGCGAAAGCUAGGGGAGCAAACGGG